AUCUCCUUAUAUCAUCCGCCUCCUCCCUUUCUCUAUACUUCUCUCUACCCUUCUCUCCCUCUAAGACCUCUUCACCAUCAAUGGUGGCGGCGUCGCUGCUUAGCCGUUGCCAUCAUCAUCUCCGUGCAACCACCAAACGACGACCAACCAAAUAGUCCCCAUGCCGCUACCCGUUGAGGGACCCCGCUGGCGAAACAGAUGCCUCCAGCCGCUGAGAUUUCACCAACGUAACUAAUUUUUGAAUAUGAGUGGUACUUUUUUCAUCUUCUAAAGAUGGAAUCUGAUUAUAGCUUGAUAUAUCAACGAAAUAUCGAUAAUUGAAUAGAUGAGGCUGAGAAUGAAGAUGCGGAUGAUGAGUUGUAGUUUUUAGUAUUUUGUAUGUUUUAUAGUUUGGAUUUGAAACCUCGAUAAAUUUUGAAAAUAAUGUUUGUAUUCUUAUGGUGGUUGGUUGAUUGUAUAUUAAAUGAUUGGUGGGAUGUAUUGUAGAUAAUAAUCAAUGUUUGUAAA